UGCUUGCAUGACCAGUUUAUGGAUGAAAUCCGUACACUGAUGUCUAACCUGUAAUGAAAGCCAACCUGUUCAGCUUACCACAGCCUUGUAUACCACCAGGGGUUUGCGGACUACAGUUUGGAAAUUAGACCACUCCAGCUGCUUCAAAGGUAUAACGAUGUCCACUACUCCGUCCCUACCCCUAGACCUUCUGGUUGCUGUGUAAAACAUUUCUGCUACUUUAUCUGAUUUCCUCUGGGAUUAACUCUGGUUCUGCUACUGCUUUUAGCUUUCCGAAGUAGCAGCAAGCUGGCAUUCUCCAUUGCCCACAGGUUUCUAAACAACACAAGUAAAACUGUUCAGACCAUCCAUAAUGUCACUACUACCUGACAAAAGAACAAACAGAAGCAGAAAAUAAAAAAAAGUCUAGAUUUAGAAAAACUAGCCA
rnacentral:lncRNA from 1 species